rnacentral:rRNA from 1 species
GAUGAACGCUGGCGGCGUGCCUAAUACAUGCAAGUCGAGCGAACAGACGAGGAGCUUGCUCCUCUGACGUUAGCGGCGGACGGGUGAGUAACACGUGGAUAACCUACCUAUAAGACUGGGAUAACUUCGGGAAACCGGAGCUAAUACCGGAUAAUAUAUUGAACCGCAUGGUUCAAUAGUGAAAGACGGUUUUGCUGUCAUUUAUAGAUGGAUCCGCGCCGCAUUAGCUAGUUGGUAAGGUAACGGCUUACCAAGGCGACGAUGCGUAGCCGACCUGAGAGGGUGAUCGGCCAAACUGGAACUGAGACACGGUCCAGACUCCUACGGGAGGCAGCAGUAGGGAAUCUUCCGCAAUGGGCGAAAGCCUGACGGAGCAACGCCGCGUGAGUGAUGAAGGUCUUCGGAUCGUAAAACUCUGUUAUUAGGGAAGAACAAAUGUGUAAGUAACUAUGCACGUCUUGACGGUACCUAAUCAGAAAGCCACGGCUAACUACGUG